UAUUUCCUUUAUUUUCUUCUUUCCUUCCCGAUUCUAUUUUCUUCCCUAAUCUCCCGAUUUCCUCCAUUCGGCCUGAUCACCUUCCUCCCCGAUUUAUCUCCACCGACGACGAUCUUCCCCUUCGAGCGCCUCAUCAACGCCAAGCAAUCUUGGCUACUUGGCGGUCCGACCUUCUCCUUCUCUUCAUAUCGCGCCCGACUCUUGCCUCUUCUCCCGAUUCUUUCUCGUCGCCGGUUGCCAUCGCCGGCUCUGGGAGCCACCGAUCGUCUUCUCCUCUUCGUUGGCGCAGCCCCAUCGCCGAUUGCCAGCAAGAUCGCCCUGACCUGUUGGAUUCCCUCCUCAUCUCCUCCGUGAUCUUGCCCUCUUCCGAUCUGGUCACUGCCGCCCUGACGUCGCCGAUCCCCACAACCAUCUAUGCCAAAUGUGAUCGCGAUAGGGGAGGAGACUAGUCCUUGGCCGAUCCAUCGCCUUGGUCGCCAUCCGUCCACCUUCGAGCGCCGCUGAAGCCACCUCGCCACCAGGUGAUGCUGUUGCCGGAGGAAGAAUCAACGCAGGGGGGGCUAGGGCAUACUCUUCCUCUCACUGGCGGAUCGGAGCAGAGCAGAUCAGAGGCGGUUUCCAUAAGGGCUUUCUCCCCACCAGAUGGAUCGAAUCGGGUGAUCAACCUAGGUAAGCUUCCUCUGGACUCUAAUGGAUUCAAGGGUUUUGCUGCUUUGUGAUGUUCUUCCUUGAUGCUGGACUUGUGGGAAGCAUCGGAUCAACUUCUUGGUGGAUUCUUAGUGAGCAUAUCACUGCCUCUUUACUUCUUGUAGCUGUUGGGGUCUUGAUUGAGAGGUGGGGAUCGAUUUAGGUGUAUUUGUAGCUGCUGGACAGUGGGGGUAGGGUUGUGGGGUACUGGAUUUGGCUGCUCUAUCUCAAGGACUACCUUGGGAGCUAUCGGGCAGAGGUUGUUGGAUUGGGAGCUACUGAAUUUCUGUUAAAACCUCAUGGACUUGGAUUCGGGACGAGCGUCUCAACGUGGGAUUUUCGGACACGAGCUACGUAUUAAGGCGGGUAUUUCUUCCUUGGCCUCUAUGUAGAUUCUCUUGUACUUAGUGCAUGGUUAUUAUUGGAUGAAUUAGACUGCUUUAUCUUAUAUUA